rnacentral:tRNA from 3 species
GGGCCUGUAGCUCAGUGGUAGAGCAAACGGCUCAUAACCGUUAGGUCGCUGGUUCGAACCCAGCCGGGCCCACCA